rnacentral:tRNA from 1 species
UUUUGCUUAGUUUAAUAAUAAAUAUUGGCUUGUCAAGCGAAAGAUGUGGUCGUACCCACAGCAGAAG